AUUUUGCAACACCUAAAAGCAAGUGUAAAAGGAAAAGAAGAGCAAACCUUCUUAAUUUAGCAGACGGUUUGUCUCACCUAGACAAGCCUCUUGAA